GCCCCGGUGGCGGAAUUGGCAGACGCGGCGGAUUCAAAAUCCGUUGCCGAAAGGCAUGAGGGUUCAAGUCCCUCCCGGGGCA
rnacentral:tRNA from 1 species